rnacentral:rRNA from 1 species
AAUGAACACUAGCGGCAGGCCUAAUACAUGCAAGACGAACGGUAAGUUGAGUAGCAAUACUUAGCCAAGAGUGUCGUACGGGUGCGUAACACGUAUGCAACCUACCCUAUACAGGAGGAUAGCCUAGGGAAACCUGGAUUAACCCUUCAUAGUAUUAUUGGAUGGCAUCAUUUGAUAAUUAAAACUGAGGUGGUAUAGGAUGGGCAUGCGUCUGAUUAGUUAGUUGGCGGGGUAAUGGCCCACCAAGACGAUGAUCAGUAGGGGUUCUGAGAGGAAGAUCCCCCACACUGGCACUGAGAUACGGGCCAGACUCCUACGGGAGGCAGCAGUAGGGAAUAUUGGUCAAUGGAUGCAAGUCUGAACCAGCCAUGCCGCGUGCAGGAAGAAGGCCUUUCUGGGUUGUAAACUGCUUUUGCCAGGGGAUAAAAUUUCCAUGCGUGGAAAACUGAAGGUACCUGGUGAAUAAGCACCGGCUAACUCUGUGCCAGCAGCCGCGGUAA